rnacentral:misc_RNA from 1 species
AACUGGAAUAAAAAACAAUAAGCUGCAUACAAUUUGUACUCAUCAUAGUCUACAUGUUAUUAAAUACUCUCCAACAUUUCAUAAGUCAUGCUGUGACCCUUUCUUAAUUCAUUCAAAGAUUGUUAAAGGAAAUCUGACAACUGUCACUUUGGAGCAUAAUCCUUGGUGAAAGAUCAACUGACAUAAGAAAUCCAAAAAAGUGGCUUCCGAAGUUAUAAAUCAAAUUGUCAACUUUUAUGAAGAUGAUAGUAAUAGCAGAUUAUUGCCAGGUGCAAAGGAUUAUAUUAGCAUAAAAACAGUUGAAGGCAGAAAGCACAUUCAGAAGAGACUCAUAUUAUCUAAUCUUUCAGAACUAUACUAAAAAUGAAUAGAAGAAUAAAAUUCUAAUGAUAUAGUUAAGGUGGGAUUAACAUCAUUUGCUCUUUUAAGGCCAAAACACUGUGUACUUGCUGGAAAAUCUGGCAAAAAUACCGUCUGUGUUUGUAUCCACCAUCAAAAUCCAAAUCUAAUGGUAAAAGCAUUUAAAAAUGAAAUAAAGUUAAAAGAACUGAUGGCCUUAGCUGUAUGCUCAUUAGAAAAUAAAGAAUGUUUGUUUUACGAGUGUAAAAACUGUCCCGGAAAAGAAAGAAUUGAAAUAAAGUUAAAUGAUCUGGUUGGCGAUUCAGCAAAUGAAAUAACUUAUAAACAAUGGUUGAAAACUGAUAGAUACUCCUUAGAAACAAUAGUUAAAAACCUUGAUGAGUUUCUUGAAGAGUUAACAAACAACUUAUAUGAACUCACAAAACAUCAUUAUGUCAGCAAAUCUCAGACAUACUUUUUAAAGCAGUUAAAAGAAAACCUGAAAGCAAAUGAAUGUAUUAUACAAAUGGAUUUUGCUAAAAAAAAUUUAUUUGUCAUACAGGAUGAAAUUCAGGCAUCAUAUUUUUCUAAAAAUCAGGCAACUCUUCAUCUCUUCAUUUCAACAUUUCAACUCUUCAACUCUUCAUUUAUUAUAUAUAUGAGAUCUUUAAAUGGAAACCUGACCCUAGAAAGCAAAUGUUAUUGCAUUCUGAUUCACAAUACUGAGGCAGUCUUCACUUAUGUUUCAAAAAUCGUAUUUAUUCUGAAAGAAGAAUAUCCAAAUAUUCAAAAGAUUCAUUAUUUCACUGAUGGUGCAGGCAGCCAGUAUAAAAAUAGGUUUAAUUUGAAAAACCUUUGCUUUCAUGAAAAAGACUUCGGACUGAAAGCAGAUUGGCAUUUUUUUGGCACUGCACAUGGAAAAAGUGCAUGUGACGGAGUAGGUGGUACAGUGAAAAGAGUAAUUAACAACCUGUCCCUCUAAAGGCCAAUUGGAAAUCAAAUUUUGACAUCAAAGGAUAUGUUUUUAGUUGCUAAAGAAAGUUUUAAAAACAUCAGGUAUAGCACUUUGUUGUCUAAAUGCACAUAGAUUUUGGUUAUGAUUUUUUUUCAAAUUUCUCUAUAUUUCUGAAAACGAAACAGCUGCUAACACUCAUGAAGUUCUUGCUAAACGAUUUGAGAAUGUUCUUGCUAUCAAAGGAACCCGUUCAUAUCAUUGCAUUUUACCUUUAUCGUGUUGUUUAAAAGCUUAUGUAACAUCAAUGAGCACAACAUUUGACAUUUUUCACAUGCUGGAAGAUACUUGCAUUAAUACACCAAAGUCAGUAACUGUUGACAUCAAUAUUGCUGAUUGGGUAUUAGCGCAUUAUUUUGGUGAAUUUUUUCCUGGAAAGGUGAUAGAUGUUAAAGAUGACUACAUAUCUGUCAGCUGUUUACAUAAAGCUGGCAAUUAUUUCAAAUAUCCAAAAACACCAGAUAUCCAUUGGUAUCCAGUUAAUGACAUUAUUGCCAUAUUACAUGAGCCUGAGCUCCAAAACACAAGAGGAUUUUACUCCUAUUUAAUAAAAAACAAGAUUAAAUAAUUUAUACUGCAUUAAUUGUUUUGAAUUAGCAACUAAUUAUCAAUUAAAAAGUAAAAACCAAACCUUAUAAUAAAAGUGGUUUCUAACAAGCUUCGACUUUUUUCUUUAUUGAUCAUUAUUUAUUUCUUUUAUAGAAGUUAUUAUAUUUUUUAAGCACCCUGAUGUAUCAUGAAUAUUCCCUUGAUAUAUUAUGAAAGUCUUAUUAAAAAAUGUUCAACAUUAUUUUGUAAAAAAUCAUAGGUCUUUGACUUUGAGAUAAAACACUCCUUAAUUGUGUAAACAAUAUUUAAAGUAUCACUAUUUAACAAUAAUACUGGGUUUUAACUAAUUAUUGCCCCUUUAUUUGUGCCCCUACCCAGG